AGAGUUUGAUCAUGGCUCAGAUUGAACGCUGGCGGAAUGCUUUACGCAUGCAAGUCGAACGGCAGCACGGACUUCGGUCUGGUGGCGAGUGGCGAACGGGUGAGUAAUAUAUCGGAACGUAUCCAAUAAUGGGGGAUAACUAAUCGAAAGGUUGGCUAAUACCGCAUACGCCCUACGGGGGAAAGCUAGGGACCUUCGGGCCUGGCGUUAAUGGAGCGGCCGAUAUCUGAUUAGCUAGUUGUGAGGUAAGAGCUCACCAAGGCGACGAUCAGUAGCUGGUCUGAGAGGACGACCAGCCACACUGGAACUGAGACACGGUCCAGACUCCUACGGGAGGCAGCAGUGGGGAAUUUUGGACAAUGGGCGCAAGCCUGAUCCAGCCAUUCCGCGUGAGUGAAGAGGGCCUUCGGGUUGUAAAGCUCUUUCGCAAGGGAAGAAAACUUAGUUACUAAUAUUAACUGAGGUUGACGGUACCUUGAUAAGAAGCACCGGCUAACUACGUGCCAGCAGCCGCGGUAAUACGUAGGGUGCGAGCGUUAAUCGGAAUUACUGGGCGUAAAGCGUGCGCAGGCUGUUUUGUAAGUCAGAUGUGAAAUCCCCGAGCUCAACUUGGGAACUGCGUUUGAAACUACAAGACUAGAAUAUGUCAGAGGGGGGUAGAAUUCCUCGUGUAGCAGUGAAAUGCGUAGAGAUGUGGAGGAAUAUCAAUGGCGAAGGCAGCCCCCUGGGAUAAUAUUGACGCUCAUGCACGAAAGCGUGGGGAGCAAACAGGAUUAGAUACCCUGGUAGUCCACGCCCUAAACGAUGUCUACUAGUUGUUGGUGGAGUAAAAUCCAUGAGUAACGCAGCUAACGCGUGAAGUAGACCGCCUGGGGAGUACGGUCGCAAGAUUAAAACUCAAAUGAAUUGACGGGGGCCCGCACAAGCGGUGGAUUAUGUGGAUUAAUUCGAUGCAACGCGAAAAACCUUACCUGGCCUUGACAUGUACCGAAUUUACCAGAGAUGGUUUAGUGCUCGAAAGAGAACGGUAACACAGGUGCUGCAUGGCUGUCGUCAGCUCGUGUCGUGAGAUGUUGGGUUAAGUCCCGCAACGAGCGCAACCCUUGCCAAUAAUUGCCAUCAUUUAGUUGGGCACUUUAUUGGGACUGCCGAUGACAAAUCGGAGGAAGGUGGGGAUGACGUCAAGUCCCCAUGGCCCUUAUGGCCAGGGCUUCACACGUAAUACAAUGGUCGGUACAGAGGGUUGCCAAGCCGCAAGGUGGAGCCAAUCCCAGAAAGCCGAUCGUAGUCCGGAUUGAGGUCUGCAACUCGACCUCAUGAAGUCGGAAUCGCUAGUAAUCGCGGAUCAGCAUGUCGCGGUGAAUACGUUCCCGGGCCUUGUACACACCGCCCGCCACACCAUGGGAGUGGGUUUUACCAGAAGUAGGUAGUCUAACCGCAAGGAGGACGCUUACCACGGUAGUAUUCAUGACUGGGGUGAAGUCGAAACAAGGUA
rnacentral:rRNA from 1 species